GACGAACGCUGGCGGCGUGCUUAACACAUGCCAGUCGAACGGAAAGGCCCCUUUGGGGGUACUCGAGUGGCGAACGGGUGAGUAACACGUGAGUAACCUGCCCUUGACUUCGGGAUAACUUCAGGAAACUGGGGCUAAUACCGGAUAGGAAUCCUUGCUGCAUGGUGGGGGUUGGAAAGCUUCGGCGGUUUUGGAUGGACUCGCGGCUUAUCAGCUUGUUGGUGGGGUAGUGGCUUACCAAGGCUUUGACGGGUAGCCGGCCUGAGAGGGCGACCGGCCACAUUGGGACUGAGAUACGGCCCAGACUCCUACGGGAGGCAGCAGUGGGGAAUAUUGCACAAUAGGCGGAAGCCUGAUGCAGCAACGCCGCGUGCGGGAUGACGGCCUUCGGGUUGUAAACCGCUUUCAGCAGGGGCGAAGCUUGUGGUGACGGUACCUGCAGAAGAAGCACCGGCUAACUACGUG
rnacentral:rRNA from 1 species